UACGUAGGGAGCAAGCGUUGUCCGGAAUCAUUGGGCGUAAAGCGCGCGUAGGUGGCCUCAUAAGUCCGCUGUGAAAGUCAAAGGCUCAACCUUUGAAAGCCGGUGGAUACUGUGAGGCUAGAGUACGGAAGAGCGAGUGGAAUCCUGGUGUAGCGGUGGAAUGCGCAGGAUAUCAGGAGGAACACCAAUAGCGAAGGGUAAGCCUCGCUGGGAAGCGUUACUGACACUGAGGCGCGAAAGCGUGGGGAGGCAAACAGGA
rnacentral:rRNA from 1 species